AUCCAAAUGAAGAGUCCCAAAUAGGACGAAAUUUGCGUGCUGGAU
rnacentral:hammerhead_ribozyme from 1 species